rnacentral:rRNA from 1 species
UACGUAGGGGGCUAGCGUUGUCCGGAAUCAUUGGGCGUAAAGAGCGUGUAGGCGGUCCGGUAAGUCCGCUGUGAAAGUCGGGGGCUCAACCCUCGAAUGCCGGUGGAUACUGUCGGGCUAGAGUGCGGAAGAGGCGAGUGGAAUUCCUGGUGUAGCGGUGAAAUGCGCAGAUAUCGGGAAGAACACCGGUGGCGAAGGCGGCUCUCUGGACCUGUCCUGACGCUCAGGCGCGAAAGCUAGGGGAGCGAACAGG